UCAAAACUUUACUGGAGUUCAAAUUCAAACCCGCAAAUAGAAAAUAUAAGAUAAAAAGAAAAGAAGAAAACACAAAGAAAACACAAACCUGAUCUGGUCCUGUUUUCCCCUCAGCCAGCCCAGCUCCUCACCUCACCCUCUCGGCCCGGUUCAAGAAUUUCCCACGCUCGGUCCAACUUACCUCGCCCACCCAACUCCACUUCCUCGCACACCGCCCCACCCAUUGCCUAAUUGGUCGCACUUGCCAACAGGUGGGCCCCGGCUGUAGCCUCUCCACCUUGCGCGCUGACGUCAGCCGUUGGGCCCCACAAGCUGGCUUCAUACCUGUAACAAACCCCACUGAAAUCGCGGAUUCAGAUUGUUGCUUGCUGUUCUACCAGGGCGGAUUUCCAUGGGCGCCAUGGGAUCCUGGGGCGUAAAAGCUGACUUGCCCACCCCCACACCUUUGUUCUUUUGUCAUCGAAUAUACGAGCCUCGACGUCGCCAAGGGAGAGCUGGGGUGAGCGCAGGGAGGAACUGAGCGUCGUCGUGAGCAGAGAGAAGUGGAGGGAACCGACCGUCGUGGUGAUUGGGCCAUCGGCAUAGCUGAAUCCAUGGAGAUCGGUUUGGGCGCUUCGCCGAGUCUCCCCGAGUCUUUAGGAGGGUCCUCGAGGUCUUCGCAAACGACAGGAUACACCGGGGUUGUUCUUCUGUCGCAGUGGCGAUCUUCACUGUGGAUCGGAUGCAAGGCUACGCCAUCGUUGACGGGCAAGUGAUUGAGGAGCCCGGAGCACAGAAGGUUGAAGACUCUAAGCAGGAGCUCACUGAAGGCAAGUUGUGUCGUUGAUCACUCUUCUUUACCCAAUAAUGUUCUUGUUAACCACUAUGGUAUGCUCAGGCUAAUUUUAUGGGACCUAAUAGGUUAUCCUAGUUUGGUUUACUUCACACCUUGCUUACCACUAAACUAUUGGGUAGUAUCUGCUAUUGCUCUAUGUGGUUUUGGGUGUUAAGAUACAUAUGAUUUAUGAUCAGGCUUUAUUAUCGUUA